rfam:Chryseobacterium taiwanense strain TPW19 Contig_14, whole genome shotgun sequence.
GAACAUAUCGUCUAACGGAAGGACUCUAUUACUUCAUGAUAGCAGUGCAGGUUCGAAUCCUGCUAUGUUCC